AGUGAACGCUGGCGGUAGGCCUAACACAUGCAAGUCGAACGGCAGCACAGUAAGAGCUUGCUCUUACGGGUGGCGAGUGGCGGACGGGUGAGGAAUACAUCGGAAUCUACUUUUUCGUGGGGGAUAACGUAGGGAAACUUACGCUAAUACCGCAUACGACCUACGGGUGAAAGCAGGGGAUCUUCGGACCUUGCGCGAUUGAAUGAGCCGAUGUCGGAUUAGCUAGUUGGCGGGGUAAAGGCCCACCAAGGCGACGAUCCGUAGCUGGUCUGAGAGGAUGAUCAGCCACACUGGAACUGAGACACGAACCAGACUCCUGCGGGAGGCAGCAGUGGGGAAUAUUGGACAAUGGGCGCAAGCCUGAUCCAGCCAUACCGCGUGGGUGAAGAAGGCCUUCGGGUUGUAAAGCCCUUUUGUUGGGAAAGAAAAGCAGCAGGUUAAUACCCCGCUGUUCUGACGGUACCCAAAGAAUAAGCACCGGCUAACUUCGUG
rnacentral:rRNA from 1 species